UAUGUGUUCAUCCUCUCUGCUCUCAGACGUUAAGAGGACAGUGUUGAUCAGUGUCUGUCCACACCUUUCAGAGACACUGACACACCUGCAGCACAAUGAUGAUGUCACUGAUUCUACUGAUGCUCACCCUGGGGAUCCUGGUUCACGGUUCAUCAGGAGACAUCCUCCUGACUCAGUCUCCUGGAUCUCUGUCUGUUGUUCCAGGACAGACUGUUUCUAUCAGAUGUAGAGCAAGUUCAUCUGUGAGUGAUGAGGUAGACUGGUACCUUCAGAAACCUGGAGAAUCUCCCAAACUCUUGAUUUAUUCUGCUACAACUCGUCAGUCUGGAGUUCCAGAUCGUUUCAGUGGGAGUCAGUCUGGAACUGACUUCACUCUGACCAUCAGUGGAGUCCAGACUGAAGAUGCAGGAGAUUAUUAUUGUCAGCAGGAUUACAGCUGGCCACUCACGUUCGGUGGAGGAACCAGACUGGAUGUUGGAAGAAGUGAUACGCGUCCCACCCUGACGGUGCUGCCCCCCUCCCGUGAGGAGCUGCAGCAGGGUACCACGGCCACGCUCAUGUGCCUGGCCAACAAGGGCUUCCCCUCAGGCUGGAGUCUGGCCUGGAAGGUGGACGGCAGCAGCAGCAUCAGCGGGGAGGAGAGCAGGAGCCCUGCGGUGCUGAAGGACGCUCUCUACAGCUGGAGCAGCACCCUGAGGAUCACUGCAGACCAGUGGAGGAAGCUGGGCUCUGUGACCUGUGAGGCCACCCAGGGCUCCCAGACUCCAGUCACAGAGACUCUGAGGAGAGACCAGUGUACCCAGGACUGAUCUGACUCACUGGGACUCUGCUGCUGGUUUUAAUGUGUUUACUUUAAGGUCUGCUCUCUGUAACCCUCCAUCUCUCUCUCAGUCUCUGUUUUUGACUCUCUUAUCACACAUUUUAUUGUUUUUAGUUCAUCACUUAUGAUUUUCAUUGUUUCAAUUCAAUAAAGACUGAUUCAUGAAAUUGA